rnacentral:ncRNA from 2 species
CGCGUCUUGACGGGGUGCUGGCGAAGGCCGGCUGAGAUUGCAGAAGCAAAACCCGCGAACCUGAUCCGGUUAGUACCGGCGUAGGGAUUUGAGACAAGCUUUUCU